CCUUUACUACAGCGUGGCACUGAACAUUGACCCUUCAUGUGUAGGAUAGGUGGGAGGCUUUGAAGCACGUACGCCAGUAUGUGUGGAGCCAUCCUUGAAAUACCACCCUUGUAGUGUUGAUGUUCUAACGUCGACCCCUGAUCGGGGUUGCGGACAGUGCCUGGUGGGUAGUUUGACUGGGGCGGUCUCCUCCCAAAGAGUAACGGAGGAGCACGAAGGUGGGCUAAUCACGGUUGGACAUCGUGAGGUUAGUGCAAUGGCAUAAGCCCGCUUGACUGCGAGAAUGACAAUUCGAGCAGGUGCGAAAGCAGGUCAUAGUGAUCCGGUGGUUCUGAAUGGAAGGGCCAUCGCUCAAUGGAUAAAAGGAACUCCGGGGAUAACAGGCUGAU
rnacentral:rRNA from 1 species